CUCCUCGCGGGCAUACCGGCCCGCGGGCUUUUCCCGUCCCCUCUGCGGCGCCGGAAGGAGAGCACAAACGUUCUGCUGCGUGCUGCUCAGAUCCCUGACAGAUGCUGGCAGAGAAGUUGGAAUUUGAAUGACCUGUGCAGUCUUUCAUGGAGAUGACCGUCUGUGGGAAAAGGAAACUCUAGGACAGUUUUUGAGCUAGAGCUGAUGUAACACAUCCCAGGGAAGCAGAACUUGGAACUCAGGUAGCUUUAAGCAGGAGGUGGUCACAGGACUGGAAGUGGAAACGGGAAAGCAUUUAUGUCAAUCUCAUGAAGCCUUAUGAAAUGAAUGGCACCUGCUAGACACUGAAAAAUCUCAGCAUGUUCAAAUAUGUAUUCACAGAUAUGUGUGCACGUGUGUGCGCGCACACACACACACACACACACACACACUGGACUUGUAAGUCUCCAGGAAGCAAAAUGCCAUGGUCUCUGGGGAAACUGGCCUUUUCUCUGAGUGUAGUGGCUGGCGGGAGCUGCACCCUUACAUAUUACCUUAUACAAAAAGCUUUUACCAAGACGUCCUAUUACCAGCUGGCAUUGGAGCAGCUGCACAGCCACCCCGAGGCCCUGGAAGCUCUGGGCGCUCCUCUCAACGUCCACUAUCUCCACCUCAUCGACAGGGCCAACUUCGUGGACAUCGCCAAUGCCCAGUUGAAGAUUCCUGUCUCUGGAUCCAAGGCAGAAGGCCAUCUCCAUGUCAGCUCAUCCAGACAUGCCCCCUUUCAGAGGUGGCACCUUCAGGAAGUCUUCUUAAAGCUUGAGGAUGGUCAGCAGAUUCCUGUGUUCAAGGUCAGUGGGAACACUGAUCAUGAAGUAAAAAAGGAGUAAAGAUGAUCAAAAAGACUCCGCUUUCUCCAGACUCAGCCUUACGUCGUCACCAUGUGCCCUCCGUGGCUGUGAGCCAGGUGUCCAGCCACAGGGGGCAUUGUAUGUGCCGGCCUAUGGUAAUUUUGGUAUAAUUCUAAUUUGACCCCGACUAUUGUGGGUUUUUUUAUUUAAUCAGAAAUGAAAAUUUUACUAUAGAUAUAUAAGAAUUUAUUUGAAAAUUCACUGUCUAAAAACAAAGUACGGAAUAAAAGGAAUCAGUAUCAAUAAGAUGGUGUUAAUUUUUGCCAGCUCUCAUCUUUCCUUUUUCCUCUCCCCCCACCUCCCCAUAGUUUUCAGUUCCAUCAAUGAGAAGACCAAGACUUAACUAGCACUGAAGAGGUCUUUAAUUGUAACAUUAGAAUGCCCUGCCCUGAAUGCAUGUUGCUAAGUAGCUUGUGAACAUUCUCAAUCCCUUUGGAAUAUUUUUUUUUGCUUCACUGCUGUUGUUUUAUCCUAUUUCUGUUUUAGUCACCAACUGUCUGCCUGAUUGAAGAUUUGCAAAAUAACUGCUUUAAUUCAGACAUUUUGGAAGCUUAAAAUAUUUACAUGUGUACAUAGCAUAUGCAAAACUAACUCAGGAAUGGUAGUUUAAAGCUAACCGGUCCUUAUCCUUCUGUUUUACAAACAACCCCAUAUUCGAGAAGCACGCCUUUAGGUUUCACCUGUUUUAUAAGGGAACAGUAUUAUGAAGUCGAAGAUCUUCCUUCCCUCUGAACACUGAAGCUGAUGAAAAUCAGAAAUCUGAUACCUUUGCUUUGAAAAGGCCAGUUUCACCCCCUCAGUGUUAUUAGGCUUAAUAUGGUUAUAAUUGCCUACAAUAAAGGACAUUCAUGAGCUCUUUUCCUACAUUCUUAAUAUUCGUUGGAGGGAAGCCUUUCAGAAAAUAUUGAGCUUAAACGUGCUGGUAGAGCGUGAGGCCUUUAAUUGUUGCAAGUUCUUUCUAUUCUGGAGCUUGUUUCUUUAAAAAGUAUGUUCUUUGAAUAGAUUUUAGAGUGAAAAGUGAGUCUUUUUCCCUGAGAGCAUUUUUUCCCUGUGUUUUUGAUAAACAUUACAGUCUGCACAGUCUUUUAAAGUAAAUGGUAACGUCAUAUACAGAGUUUUGUGCUGCUUUAUUCUUUAAAAGUUACACACUGUUUAUUGUAUAUGUGUCGGUUUAUAUAUUGCUUCAUAUCUGAUUGUUCUUUAACUUUUACUUCCUUUGCUGGUUAUUUUUCAUGCUGUUGCCAAAUCAUAGAAAACCAGGGCCUGGGUGGGCCAUCUGAAGUCAAAGCAAGUGACAGUUUUUGUUUCUGUAGAGUUUGAAUUAAUUAAGAGACUUUCUAAUCUAACUGACAGGAAAUAGUAUUAUAUCAUGAAAAGAUCCUUGAUUUCUCUUUGGAGGUCGCCAUCUUGGGCACUUUUUCCAGUUAAGUUUACUUCCAUGUAUGUUCUGAUUACCUUCUUGUAGGAUUGUGAACAGGCCGGAACUUGGGUCAUUGCAGUAGGCAGCCCUUGGCUUUCCUUGUUUGAGCAUAGCAAUGACGUGUGUUUGCAGCCCACUGCUUCCUGUGUAUCCAGUCAUCACUGUGACUCAGCCAUUGACUCCCAUGAACUACCCUGAGGACAUCUUGUCAUCCACAUUGUCAUCAGAGGAAAAAGCAACUCUUCCCCAUAAGCAGUUUGAGCAAGUGCCCCUUGCAUACACCCUGUAAUCGACAGCACAGCCCAGGGACUGGAGAAGGGGCCUCACUAGAAUUGUAAGAAUUAUAAAAACCGUGGAAGAGAGAGCACAGCCAACAAAUCAGAAAUCGCAGCCAGCGAAUGGUAGUAUGACUCCCGUGUGCCUCUCCUCCGCAAGACGCGGCAUGCUCUCUUCCCUGCAAGUUGCUUCCCAGCUGGCAUGCUGAGUGGGUGGGGAGGGACUGGAGAGUUAGAGUCUUAGGAGACUGUGCCGAAAGAUCUGCGAGCAGCGGUGCUAGCGUGGUGUAGAAGAGUGAGUUCCUGUUCAGGAGAUCUAGGAGUGGUGCUCUGAUGGGCCUUGAGAGCUGAGGUUGCAGACAAGUGGAAAAGCCACACAAGAAAAGGCCUCAGCAGGAGAAAUGUGAGCUAUGCCCCAGAACGAAGAUAUCCAGGUUGGCCAGGGUGUAGGUUAGCUGAAGACAUAGUAAAAGAAAGCCCUGGAACGUGAGUUGGCCAUAGCAUGUGCCAGCAUGAGCAUUUUGCACGUGGCUUGUGGCCAUCGUAGAUUCUGGGGUAAGCGUAUGAGUCCACAGUUAAUGAAGGUUUAAGAGACUGUGAUGAAUGUGUCACGACAGGGCCGAUAGGACUAUCAAUAAAUCACACAUCUUAUUGUCAUUUAUUCCAUUUUUCUAGAAUUGGCCUCCUCAUACCUCUCUUCCCUUCAACCAUCCUGCAGUCUGGAGAUUUAAUAAUACCCGAUAAGACAAGGUUUUGUUACUCCUGGUUUUGGUAAAGUUGCUUACAGCAAAGGUGAAACUGAAUUACACGUACAUGAAAGAGCCAGAACUUGACAGAUGGUGGGGCUCUGGUCUCCGGCAUAGUGGAAAGGUCGAGGUAAUGCUCGAGAGGCCGCAGCUCGAGGGGUUUCUGAAGGCAGCCAGCCUUAGGCCACUUGACUGUUUGGUGUUUUCAGUUUGUCUGUAUGAAAAAUAUGACUAAAUACUGAGCAGGCACCUGCCUUACCAGUGAGGCUGUGUUUACACUGCUCGUUGGGCUGCUUGGGCAAAGCUGCUGGUCCACACAGGAUGCCUGGUGACUGCGGGGUUCAAGGAGGCGGCGGAAGGAUGUUGGGAAAACCUCCAGUCCCCACCCACAGGAUUCUCACCUCCUUAGUAAGCUGCUCACAGCCCAGGCUUGUCUUUGGGCCGACUUCGGCCGAGCUGUUCAGUUGAAAGUACUGUCAGGAACAUGUACAGAAAGACUGUGGCAUUUUGCAGUCCAGGGUGGAAGAGUGGGAGACAGAAACACAGGCCUGUCGGACGUAGGCAUGUCUCACGGAUCGCAUACAGUGUAUUACAUGUCUCUGUCACUGAGUGAUACGCCUUUGGGGCAGAAAUUAUCCUUCCUUAGCUACCGAGUUCGUGUCGGUCACCUUGCAGUCUUAAUGAAAGUAAUUAUUUACUUCCAAGUUAGUUUUAUAAAGUGAGAAACUGUGGACCAGUCUCUCCCAUGAAUGUUGCUGCAAAAUUCUGAAUUUUAGCAAACUGAAUCCAGUGACCUGUAGUAAGUGGUGUGCUGUAUUAUUUUGCACAAAGUACUGUGGUGGCCAUCCCUUGGCAGUGCCCUCCUCUGUGGGAAGAUUAUGUGUCCCCGCCUUGAACUUAGGUGUCACCCUGUGGCUUGUUCUGGCCAAUGAAUUUGUGAGCCGAAGUGAUAGACAAGACUUCUGAGUAGAAGUUUUAAAUGCCAGCCCUUGGUUCACCAUGGCCUCUUUUCUGUCUUCCCUAAAAUCAGGAAUGUUCUAGAUAGUAGCUGCUCGGGGGACGUACGUUCUGGAAUGAAGAUGAUAUGUAACAGAGCUUACAGCUGACGCACGAUGGGACAUGUAGCUUGAACGAGAAAUCAUGGUUGCAAAUGCAGAUGUUGACGGCAAGAGCAUGGUGGUAUCACAAUGAGCACAGACUAAUCACAAGCGAUGUGAAACGGCUACUCUACUGAUGGUACUUCAGGAAUUACGGCUUUAUGAGAAAGUUGCUCUUGCCGGGGGCAAGAGGUAAUAGUUGAGUAGAAGACAAGACUAAUUCCUGUCCUGGUCCUGACAUCGACUUUAGUAUCUGGAUAUCUGUCACGCAAACUUCAGCAGUUUGACAACUCCUUUACUGCUGUUAGUACUGCACACUGCACUUACGGGGUACGGGACGUGACUACACCGUGUGUCCUCAGCGCGUGCCUGAACUCAACAGGAGGCUAUAAAGACUCGUCUGUGUUCAGCAAUACUCAACUACUGCGUCUGUUUUAUAGACUCAGUGUAGACAAAGCCACUUUUAGGGACAUUUUCAGAACAUUCAUUAUUCAAAACAAAGCAGCAGGGCUAAGAUGGAGUAGAUAUGCUUCUCCUUGGGAUUCUUCCCACUAAGUACAGCUAAGAGCCCUGGACACAUAUAAAAUAAAAAUAAGACAGUUCCAAAAGAUGAAGAGAAGAAUGCAGAUUGGCCGAGGACCUUGGGAAUAACACAGCAGUGAGUUCCCUGAGGUUUGUUGUUGCUGUUUGGUGGUGGUGGUGGGGUUGUUUGUUUGCUUUUGCCUACAUAUCUCAGGGUGUGAGUAGAAUGAGCAACCCAGAAAUACCAAUGGGAGCAGACAACAGAAGCCAGAAGCCAGCUGUCAAGCCAAAGGACCAGAAAAGGCAACCUAUAAAGGCAAAGAACUGUUAGACAGUGAUUGCCAAACACCAUGGAAAAACCAUGGCCUCAGUGCCACCCUGUCCGCAAAGGCCGUGUGGAGAGCCUAGACUUCCUCCCUUGCUUGGCUGUAGUGUGGUCUCCCCAGCCCAGUCCCCUGUUGGGGUGGCAUAGAAGAUCUAGGCGGGCGCUGGGGCUUUCACUCCUGCCCCAUGGUGUCAGUGGAGGCCACAUGGGGAGCCUGCACUUUCACCCCCCUCCAAAAGGAAUAAGGCCUUGGUAUUAAUGGAGCCCAUGUUCUGCAGGAGGAAGCAGUAAUGAGGCACCCUGUCCUCUGCCUGGUGUCAGAGGAGGCUGAAUGCUGAGUCUGACCCUUCACCUCCACCUGGCAGUCGUGAGGCAAUAGAAGGACCCCCACUUUGCCCACCUGUGUGGUACCGGAGAAGGCCUGCUAAAACCAAAGAUUUAAAUAAGAUCCAGAGUCUCACCCAAUGUCCAGUACGAAGUCACAGUCAUACCGAGAACGAGGAAUCUCAACCCAAAUGAGAAAAGACAACAGAUACCAACACGGAGAUGACACAGAUGUUGGAAUUACCAGCAAGGAUAUUAAAGCAGCUAUCAAAACAUUUUUAAAAACCUUCAAAGAAAAAUUAUGAACAUGCUUGAAGCAUGAAAAUGGUCUCAGCAAAGAAACAGAAGAAUUGAAUGGAAAUCUGAGAAUGGAAAAAUAAAAAUCUCACUGGAUGGGCUGAACAGCAGAGCGGAGAAGAAAAGAAAGAAUCAGGGACUCAAAGAUAAAAUGGAAAUGACCCAAUAUGAAUAGAGACAACAGCCCAAAAGUACCUAUGGGUCUCUAACAAAAAGAUCUAACAUUCAUGUCAUCAGAGUCCCAGAAAGAGGAGAGAAGGUGGAGGUACAGAAAUUAAAAAAAAAAAAAAAAAAAAAAGGGGCUGAAAAGUUUCUAAAUUGGCAAAAGGCAUAAACCUAUAUAUUCAAGAAGCAAGGUGAACUCCAAA